GAUGCUGCGCCGGAAGAACGGAUAACUUUGAUGACGUUAAUUACGAGGAACCAACCUCCAGCAUCU
rnacentral:tRNA from 1 species